UACAUAAUCUGCAUUUUUGGU
rnacentral:piRNA from 1 species